rnacentral:rRNA from 1 species
GACGUAGGGCGCGAGCGUUGUCCGGAUUUAUUGGGCGUAAAGCGCUCGUAGGCGGCUUGUCGCGUCGAAUGUGAAAACUCGGGGCUCAACUCCGAGCUUGCAUUCGAUACGGGCAGGCUAGAGUUCGGUAGGGGAGACUGGAAUUCCUGGUGUAGCGGUGAAAUGCGCAGAUAUCAGGAGGAACACCGGUGGCGAAGGCGGGUCUCUGGGCCGAUACUGACGCUGAGGAGCGAAAGCGUGGGGAGCGAACAGG